GUACUUGCUUUGACUGCACAUAUACUGACAUUGAAACAAUACAGAAAGUUUAUCAUGGCCCCUGUGCAAGAAUGAUACAUGCAUUCAUGAAGCAUUCAAUUAUUGA